rnacentral:tRNA from 1 species
GCCGGAUUAGCUCAGCUGGUAGAGCAACUGAUUUGUAAUCAGUGGGUCGGCGGUUCGAAUCCGUCAUCCGGCACCA